CACGUAGGUGGCAAGCGUUGUCCGGAUUUACUGGGCGUAAAGAGCGCGCAGGCGGUCGUUCAAGUCGCGUGUGAAAGCCCCCGGCUCAACUGGGGAGGGUCACGCGAUACUGAUCGGCUCGAAGGCAGGAGAGGGUAGUGGAAUUCCCGGUGUAGUGGUGAAAUGCGUAGAUAUCGGGAGGAACACCAGUGGCGAAGGCGGCUUUCUGGCCUGUUCUUGACGCUGAGGCGCGAAAGCUAGGGGAGCGAACGGG
rnacentral:rRNA from 1 species